rnacentral:tRNA from 1 species
AGCCAGCGUAGCUCAGUGGUAGAGCUCCCGCCUUGUAAGCGGGGGGUCGUCGGUCCGAAUCCGACCGCUGGCUU